GCGGAGGCUCGGGGAGUCGGCGCCAUGACCCCAUCGAGGCUUCCCUGGUUGCUUAGCUGGGUCUCGGCCACGGCGUGGAGAGCGGCAAGAUCACCCCUUCUGUGUCAUUCUCUGAGGAAAACAAGUUCUUCUCAAGGAGGAAAGUCUGAACUUGUCAAACAGUCCCUUAAGAAGCCGAAGUUACCAGAAGGUCGUUUUGAUGCACCAGAGGAUUCCCAUUUAGAGAAAGAACCACUGGAAAAAUUUCCAGAUGAUGUUAAUCCAGUGACCAAAGAAAAAGGUGGACCCAGGGGCCCAGAACCUACCCGAUAUGGAGAUUGGGAACGAAAAGGACGCUGUAUUGAUUUUUAAGUCGCAUAUUCUUUAACUUCAAUAUUGUUUUCUGAAUAUGUACAUCUGAAUUAACUUAUUUCUGAUUAUUUUCUUUCUUUAUAUCCUUUAUGUCGUGUAGUUUGUAUAAUGUGUUUAAAUAUAUAUAUAUAUGAUGGCUUUGGAAGAAAAUAUGCUGCUGUAAAUUAGGAAAGGGAGACCAGCCUGACCAAUAUGGAGAAAUCUCGCCUUUACUAAAAAUACAAAAUUAGCCAGGCGUGGUGGCAUGCACCUGUAAUCCCAACUACUCUGGAGGCUGAGGCAGGAGAAUGGCUUAAACCCAGGAGGUGGAGGUUGCGGUGAGCUGAGGUCGCGCCAUUGCACUCCAGCCUGGGCAACAAGAGCGAAACUCCGUCUCAAAAAAAAAGAUAGGAAAGGGAAAAUAUUUUUUCAUUAACAUAUAUUAAUUUAAUGAGUAUAGAAAUGAUUCUUGUUUUUUUGAGACAGAGUCUCUCUCUCUCACCCAGGCUGGAGUGGAGUGGCACUAUCCCAACUCACUGCAACUUCCGCCCCGCCAGGUUCAAGCAAUUCUCCUGCCUCAGCCUCCUGAGUAGCUGGGAUUACAGACACCCACCAUUGCGCCUGGCUAAUUUUUGUAUUUUUAGUAAAGACAAGGUUUCACCAUGUUAGCCAGGCUGGUCUCGAACUCCUGACCUCAGUUGAUCCACCUGCCUCAGCCUCCCAAAGUGCUGGGAUUGCAGGUGUGAGCCACCACGCCCAGCCUAGAAAUGAUUCUUAGAGCUGUAGGCCUUUACUUCAUCAUUUUUCAGUUUAAAUUAAUCAGUUGCUUAUAAAAUGCAUACAUAAAUAAAAUAAUUUUUAAAAAA
rnacentral:lncRNA from 1 species